AUUGAACGCUGGCGGCAGGCCUAACACAUGCAAGUCGAGCGAGCGGCGGACGGGUGAGUAAUGUCUGGGAAACUGCCUGAUGGAGGGGGAUAACUACUGGAAACGGUAGCUAAUACCGCAUACCAUCUGAUGUGCCCUGAUGGGCUUAGCUAGGAGUUGGGGUAACGGCUCACCUAGGCGACGAUCUCUAGCUGUUCUGAGAGGAUGACCAGCCACACUGGAACUGAGACACGGUCCAGACUCCUACGGGAGGCAGCAGUGGGGAAUAUUGCACAAUGGGCGCAAGCCUGAUACAGCCAUGCCGCGUGAGUGAAGAAGGCCUUCGGGUUGUAAAGCACUUUCAGCGGGGAGGCGUUACCCGAAGAAGAAGCACCGGCUAACUCCGUGCCAGCAGCCGCGGUAAUUC
rnacentral:rRNA from 1 species